UUCUAGUAUGAGAUAAAAUGCACGUUGAAUCUUGAGAAUGACCAAAUGGCUGUCAAUACAGAGAAAAAGAAUUAGGGGCAGAGAAAUAGAACAUAUAAAGAUCUAGAGCCUCAGAAGACUUUAUGUUAUGAAAUUUGUGUAACUGGGGUCAGGAUGCCCUGCAGAGCUAGAAGGGCAGGCAGGAUUAGCUGUGUGCCAGGGAGGCCCGAGUCUCACUCAGAACCAAUUACCACCAUCCUGAGGGGGAGGGUCAAACAAAAGUGUAAUAUCUAUGCAUGACAGCUAGGGUUGCAGCACAGAGAAUGCUUCCAAAAUUUCCCUCCUUUUUUUCUCUUCUGCUCCUCUGCCUCCUGCCCAGCCUCUAAUUCCACUCCCUGGGCUCUGGUUCCAUUGAGCUGCUACUCCUUACAGUGAAGCCCAGGACCUCUCUAUUCCUUUGGUCUGAGGUUGCAGAAUCUUGGGAAGAUUAACAGUGGCUCCUUGCAUCCUUCAGAACAGGGCACCAACCAGAAAAAUUCAUCUCUCUCUUGCUAAUGCUCAUUACCUUGAAAACUUAAUUUUAAUUCAUUAUUAUGCUAAAGGAAUUUAUUCCCAUAAGGGAAGAAGACAGGAAGAGACAAAGCACGCAAACAAUACAGAGAGCCACAUCUGUUUACUUUCUGAGGAGGAGAUGACAGUCUCAGACAUCUUUGCAGCUACAUCUUUGCAUUUGCUCUGCUCAUGGCCAUCUCUGCCGACUUCCUCUUAUCAUGGUAAUAACCUAUUGAAGAUACUUCAACAUCUGAAGAAAAUAUCAGUUAUUAAGAUUAAAGCUUCAAUGAAAGAAAAUGGUCCAAAUGAGUGACAUAUGAACAUCUAACCAUUGUUCUUAUGGACUCCAGGAUUCUGUCAAGGCGGAAUGAGCUACAGGUAUGUAAAAUCAAAACUAUCUGGAUUUCCAGAAAAGCUUAUUCAUUACAUUUAGCUGUAAUAAUAAAAAUACAAUUGACCCAUGAAAACUCCAGUGUUCUCACCCUAUAAAUGCUUACAGGAGGACCUAUUGGACUUCCUUGACUCUUCUAGUAACAAACUCUACCUCAUUGGACUUCAAUUAUGCAACUAAUAAGAUUCAACAUAUUUCUUGGGUUUCUUGGGAUUCUCACCUUGUACCUCCUCAAGUUUGCUGGUUGUGACUGCAGGCUCUUGCUAAUUCUUGUGUCCUCCCUCCGCCCUGCUUAGAUGUGGCUGACUGCUUUUGUUUCAGUCCCUGACUUGGCUCUGGAAGUGCUGACUGGGGCAGGGGCCUCUCUCUUUUUCACAAGGGAAUGGAAGGCACAUGGCACAGAGCAAAACAUAUUCUAGAACGUUUUUACCUUGUAGCACAGAGAGUCAAAGCCCAGAACUAUUCUAAAAAGCAUUUAAUUUAGAUGGGAGAGUCCUGUGAUUUGUACAGUGUUAAAUUCGAUCUGGUCAACCUUGCUCCUUUAUACUGUAAUUUAAUACUCAUUUUAAAAAGUGAUAUUAUUUGAGAGCCUUUCCCGGACCAAAUUAUUUCUCUUGAGCCCAGUCACAGUGUUUGACAUCUGAACAUCAGAGAUUCAUCUGAUGAGAAAAGAGAGCUUUAAAAUAUUCUUGGUCCUUAAUUUCCCUCCAUGGAAAUAUUAAUGUCCAAGGGAGUAUUAUGAGACUGAGGAAGGUUCUGGAGUUCUUGAGAUAAAUUUCAUGUUUCAGAGCCAGACUGCCUCCUGCCCACUAUUUUUGUUUUAACUUCUCAAAUACUUUCUAAUAUUUUGGUUUAGGAGGGCAGUGGAAAUGAUGCUUACAAAUAUGAAAAAUUAAAAGGGAAGCAGGACAAACACAUUUAGUUCAAGUUCAUCUUUUAAAGUCGUUGGCAGAGAAGCGUUUUAUCUUAAGUUAAGGAAUGCCCAGGAAAAAAAAAAUAUCUGUAAUAUUAAAUAGAACCACAUGUCAAGGCAGGGUGCCCAGAGAAUAGGGGAGCAGUUUGGGGAGGCCUCAAGGAUGACUCAGGAAGCAGAAUUGCCACACUGAGCAGAGGGUCUAACCAUUGGGACAAAGUGACUUCUGAGCACCAUCUUGCACAUCACACCUACAAUCGACAGAGCAGCCUUCAGGGCAGUCAUCUCAUGGCAGAGGAGCUUCAAGGACUGCUGCCAUCCUGAGUCCUGUGAGAAGCACCUCAUUCCCCUCCUCUCCACUGAUCGGCUCAGAGCCUAGAAAGUGGCAUGUCCUGAAACCCUUGACUCCAACAAGCAAACUUGUGUGUGCCGUGAAUGCUUUUACUUCCUAACAACUGACACCUUUUAAAGAAGCCCAGCACCUACCUCUUCUAAUCCAUCAUUAAGUAGCCAUGGAGUGUAUGUAAACUGUGUGACUCUGCAGGAAAGCUAUGAAAAUUGAUGUGGUCUGUGAAAUUCAAACCCAUCGCAGCUGAUCCCUUAAACCAGAGCUGACCCCUUAAACCAAAAUGGCCACAGGAUCCACCGGAUUACUUUAAAAUUUUUACUUUCUUGUCAUUUUCUAGGGGGAGAUUUUAUAUAAAGAUAAAGAUUUUUCUUAUUUUCCUGGAGAAAAUUCAGGGGAUCCGGACACACCAGAUCUGUCUGUACUCCUGCAUGGUGAUAGUUGACCGGCCUGAGUAGAGGUACACUGUAGAUAGUUUAUAGUCUCCUUGUCACCACCGCCAUCAUUUCCUAUGGUCCCUCUACCUGGCCCACUUUACUCUUUUAAAAUGCCUGACUUCUGUAUGCUGAACUCUCAAAACUCAUCCCGAAUUAUCCUGGCCAGGUUGGGGUAAGCU
rnacentral:lncRNA from 1 species